AAUUGGAGGGCAAGUCUGGUGCCAGCAGCCGCGGUAAUUCCAGCUCCAAUAGCGUAUAUUAAAGUUGUUGCAGUUAAAAAGCUCGUAGUUGAAUUUCGAGACCGGUUUAUUGGUCGUGCUUUUGUACGUACUGGUAUUAUUGGUUUCUCCUUUCUGACGAAUCUUGAUGCCAUUAAUUUGGUGUUUUGGGGAAUCAGAACUGUUACUUUGAAAAAAUUAGAGUGUUUAAAGCAGGCUAACGCUUGAAUACAUUAGCAUGGAAUAAUGAAAUAGGACGUUCGAUCCUAUUUUGUUGGUUUCUAGGAUUGACGUAAUGAUUAAUAGGGAUAGUUGGGGGCAUUAGUAUUCAAUUGCCAGAGGUGAAAUUCUUGGAUUUAUUGAAGACUAACUACUGCGAAAGCAUUUGCCAAGGAUGUUUUCAUUAAUCAAGAACGAAAGUUAGGGGAUCGAAGACGAUCAGAUACCGUCGUAGUCUUAACCAUAAACUAUGCCGACUAGGGAUCGGAUGAUGUUAAUUUUUUAAUGACUCAUUCGGCGCCUUACGGGAAACCAAAGUGU
rnacentral:rRNA from 1 species